UACGAAGGGGGGCUAGCGUUGCUCGGAAUGACUGGGCGUAAAGGGCGCGUAGGCGGAUGGCACAGUCAGAUGUGAAAUUCCCGGGCUUAACCUGGGGGCUGCAUUUUGAUACGUGUUGUCUAGAGUGAGGAAGAGGGUUGUGGAAUUCCCAGUGUAGAGGUGAAAUUCGUAGAUAUUGGGAAGAACACCGGUGGCGAAGGCGGCAACCUGGUCCUUGACUGACGCUGAGGCGCGAAAGCGUGGGGAGCAAACAGG
rnacentral:rRNA from 1 species